rnacentral:lncRNA from 1 species
AUUUAUUGUUCAAAGUUUGAAAAUUUAAUGUAAAAUUUUAAUAAAUAUAUAUUUUUAAAAUUCUCCAUUUAUUUCCUAGCCCUAAUGUUCCUACAAAGGGUCAUAUUUUUACACACUUUACAUGAUUAUUUUCCUAUAAAUUAUUUUCUUGGAUUUUUAUCCCGCCAAUCUUGUAAGCUAUACAAUAUUUACAGAUCAAUUCUCAAUGAAAUUAUUUUCAAAUUUAUUUUUAUUUUAUAGCAAGAGUCACUUUCAGAAGUUGUCUUUGAAAAUUUCCAAUUAAACUAGACUUUUUGUGCUUCUACUGAAGAUGAAUAU